UGCAGUCGAACGGCAGCACGGGUGCUUGCACCUGGUGGCGAGUGGCGAACGGGUGAGUAAUAUAUCGGAACGUGCCCUAGAGUGGGGGAUAACGUAGCGAAAGUUACGCUAAUACCGCAUACGAUCUACGGAUGAAAGUGGGGGAUCGCAAGACCUCAUGCUCAUGGAGCGGCCGAUAUCUGAUUAGCUAGUUGGUGGGGUAAAAGCCUACCAAGGCUACGAUCAGUAGCUGGUCUGAGAGGACGACCAGCCACACUGGGACUGAGACACGGCCCAGACUCCUACGGGAGGCAGCAGUGGGGAAUUUUGGACAAUGGGGGCAACCCUGAUCCAGCAAUGCCGCGUGUGUGAAGAAGGCCUUCGGGUUGUAAAGCACUUUUGUCAGGAACGAAACGGUGGAGGCUAAUACCUUCUGCUAAUGACGGUACCUGAAGAAUAAGCACCGGCUAACUACGUGCCAGCAGCCGCGGUAAUACGUAGGGUGCAAGCGUUAAUCGGAAUUACUGGGCGUAAAGCGUGCGCAGGCGGUUGUGCAAGACAGAUGUGAAAUCCCCGGGCUCAACCUGGGAAUUGCAUUUGUGACUGCACGGCUAGAGUGUGUCAGAGGGGGGUAGAAUUCCACGUGUAGCAGUGAAAUGCGUAGAUAUGUGGAGGAAUACCGAUGGCGAAGGCAGCCCCCUGGGAUAACACUGACGCUCAUGCACGAAAGCGUGGGGAGCAAACAGGAUUAGAUACCCUGGUAGUCCACGCCCUAAACGAUGUCUACUAGUUGUCGGGUCUUAAUUGACUUGGUAACGCAGCUAACGCGUGAAGUAGACCGCCUGGGGAGUACGGUCGCAAGAUUAAAACUCAAAGGAAUUGACGGGGACCCGCACAAGCGGUGGAUGAUGUGGAUUAAUUCGAUGCAACG
rnacentral:rRNA from 1 species